rnacentral:rRNA from 1 species
GAUGAACGCUGGCGGCGUGCCUAAUACAUGCAAGUCGAGCGAACGGACGAGAAGCUUGCUUUUCUGAUGUUAGCGGCGGACGGGUGAGUAACACGUGGAUAACCUACCUAUAAGACUGGGAUAACUUCGGGAAACCGGAGCUAAUACCGGAUAAUAUUUUGAACCGCAUGGUUCAAAAGUGAAAGACGGUCUUGCUGUCACUUAUAGAUGGAUCCGCGCUGCAUUAGCUAGUCGGUAAGGUAACGGCUUACCAAGGCAACGAUGCAUAGCCGACCUGAGAGGGUGAUCGGCCACACUGGAACUGAGACACGGUCCAGACUCCUACGGGAGGCAGCAGUAGGGAAUCUUCCGCAAUGGGCGAAAGCCUGACGGAGCAACGCUGCGUGAGUGAUGAAGGUCUUCGGAUCGUAAAACUCUGUUAUUAGGGAAGAACAUAUGUGUAAGUAACUGUGCACAUCUUGACGGUACCUAAUCAGAAAGCCACGGCUAACUACGUG